GACGAACGCUGGCGGCGUGCCUAAUACAUGCAAGUAGAACGCACAGUUUAUACCGUAGCUUGCUACACCAUAGACUGUGAGUUGCGAACGGGUGAGUAACGCGUAGGUAACCUGCCUGGUAGCGGGGGAUAACUAUUGGAAACGAUAGCUAAUACCGCAUAAUAUUAAUUAUUGCAUGAUAAUUAAUUGAAAGGUGCAAUUGCACCACUACCAGAUGGACCUGCGUUGUAUUAGCUAGUAGGUGAGGUAACGGCUCACCUAGGCGACGAUACAUAGCCGACCUGAGAGGGUGAGCGGCCACACUGGGACUGAGACACGGCCCAGACUCCUCCGGGAGGCAGCAGUAGGGAAUCUUCGGCAAUGGACGAAAGUCUGACCGAGCAACGCCGCGUGAGUGAAGAAGGUUUUCGGAUCGUAAAGCUCUGUUGUAAGAGAAGAACGGGUGUGAGAGUGGAAAGUUCACACUGUGACGGUAUCUUACCAGAAAGGGACGGCUAACUACGUG
rnacentral:rRNA from 1 species